rnacentral:rRNA from 1 species
CCAGCAGCCGCGGUAAUUCCAGCUCCAAUAGCGUAUACUAAAGUUGUUGCAGUUAAAAAGCUCGUAGUUGGAUUUCUGGCGGGGACGGCUGGUCGGUCUCGAAAGGGGCUGUACUGUUGUUGGUUCCCGUCAUCCUUGGGGAGAGCGGCUCUUACAUUAAGUUGUCGGCGUCGGGAUCCCUAUCUUUUACUGUGAAAAAAUUAGAGUGUUCAAAGCAGGCUUAGGCCCUGAAUACAUUAGCAUGGAAUAAUAAGAUACGACCUUGGUGGUCUAUUUUGUUGGUUUGCACGCCAAGGUAAUGAUUAAUAGGGAUAGUUGGGGGUAUUCGUAUUCAAUUGUCAGAGGUGAAAUUCUUGGAUUUAUGGAAGACGA